rnacentral:rRNA from 1 species
CUACUGGGGUUUCUAAUCCUGUUCGCUCCCCACGCUUUCGUGCCUCAGCGUCAGUAUCUGUCCAGCUAUCCGCCUACGCAUCAGGUGUUCCUCGUGAUAUUUACGCAUUUCACCGCUACACCACGAAUUCCGAUAGCCUCUCCAGAACUCAAGACAUGCAGUAUCAAGGGCAGUUCACCGGUUAGGCCGGUGGCUUUCACCCCUGACUUACAUGCCCGCCUACGCACCCUUUACACCCAGUGAUUCCGGACAACGCUUGGACCCUCCGUAUUACCGCGGCUGCUGGCAC